rnacentral:rRNA from 1 species
GCAACCCUGGUCCUUAGUUGCCAGCAUUCAGUUGGUGCACUCUAAGGUAGACUGCCCGUGACAAACCGGAAGAAGGUGGGGACGACGUCAAGUCAUCAUGGCCCUUACGUGUAGGGCUACACACGUGCUACAAUGGCAUUUACAGAGGGAAGCGAGACAGUGAUGUGGAGCGGACCCCUUAAAGAAUGUCGUAGUCCGGAUUGGAGUCUGCAACUCGACUCCAUGAAGUCGGAAUCGCUAGUAAUCGCAGGUCAGAAUACUGCGGGGAAUACGUUCCCGGGCCUUGUACACACCGCCCGUCACACCAUGGGAGUGGGAUGCAAAAGAAGUAGUUAGUCUAACCUUCGGGAGGACGAUUACCACUUUGUGUUUCAUGACUGGGGUGAAGUCGUAACAAGGUAACCCUAGGGGAACCUGGGGUUGGAUCACCUCCUU